CCCUGGUUAGCUCAGUUAACAGGGCACUUCAUUGGAAAUAGAGAGGUCCCGGGUUCGAUACCCGGACCAGGCG
rnacentral:tRNA from 1 species